AGCCCAUGAUGAGAGCACAAUCUCAAUAUCUCUUUGAAUCGCUCCCAAGCUUCAUAGAGAGAUUUUCCUUCCUUUUGAGAAAAACUUGUGAUUUAAUUUCUCAAUUAUGCGGUU
rfam:Cicer arietinum chromosome Ca3, whole genome shotgun sequence.